rnacentral:rRNA from 1 species
AACGAACGCUGGCGGCAGGCCUAACACAUGCAAGUCGAGCGAAGCCUUCGGGCUUAGCGGCGGACGGGUGAGUAACGCGUGGGAACGUGCCCUUUGGUACGGAAUAGCCCCGGGAAACUGGGAGUAAUACCGUAUGUGCCCUUCGGGGGAAAGAUUUAUCGCCAAAGGAUCGGCCCGCGUUGGAUUAGGUAGUUGGUGGGGUAAUGGCCUACCAAGCCGACGAUCCAUAGCUGGUUUGAGAGGAUGAUCAGCCACACUGGGACUGAGACACGGCCCAGACUCCUACGGGAGGCAGCAGUGGGGAAUCUUAGACAAUGGGGGAAACCCUGAUCUAGCCAUGCCGCGUGAUCGAUGAAGGCCUUAGGGUUGUAAAGAUCUUUCAGUGGGGGAGAUAAUGACUGUACCCACAGAAGAAGCCCCGGCUAACUCCGUGCCAGCAGCCGCAGUAAGAC